UUUAAUUAUUAGGUGCCGGAAACAAUAACUGGAAAAAUUGUUGGCGGUGUUUGUUCCCUUAGUGGUGUACUUGUCAUUGCCCUUCCUGUUCCUGUCAUAGUAUCGAAC
rfam:Clunio marinus genome assembly, contig: CLTMA_superscaffold_45B